AUUGAUCGAGGAUUUAACCGUUUUGAAAAGUAAACAAAGUAGUAACAAUGAUUCAAGGAUAGAUAGACGUUGAGAUAGAGAGGGAAUGAGAUCUGAAGUGGACUCAUACGAAACUUUUGGAAUUUUUACUUAGAUAGGAAUCAGAAACCGUCCCCUAGAGUGUUAAGACAAAUUUGUUUUGUCAUUCUACUACUUAAAUUUGUUUGUCAAAA